UACGUAUGUCCCGAGCGUUAUCCGGAUUUAUUGGGCGUAAAGCGAGCGCAGGCGGUUUAUUAAGUCUGAUGUGAAAGCCCGGGGCUCAACCCCGGAAUGGCAUUGGAAACUGGUUAACUUGAGUGCAGUAGAGGUAAGUGGAAUUCCAUGUGUAGCGGUGAAAUGCGUAGAUAUAUGGAGGAACACCGGUGGCGAAGGCGGCUUCCUGGACUGUAACUGACGUUGAGGCUCGAAAGUGUGGGGAGCAAACAGG
rnacentral:rRNA from 1 species